rnacentral:misc_RNA from 1 species
GAUGAAGAACGUAGCGAAAUGCGAUACGUAAUGUGAAUUGCAGAAUUCAGUGAAUCAUCGAAUCUUUGAACGCAUAUUGCGCUCUCUGGUAUUCCGGAGAGCAUGCUUGUUUGAGUAUCAGUAAACACCUCAACUUCCAUAUCUUUCUUGAAAUGGGAGUUGGACUUGAGUGAUCCCAACGCUUUUCCUCACCGAAAAGUGGCGGGUUACUUGAAAUGCAGGUGCAGCUGGACUUUUCUCUGAGCUAUAAGCAUAUCUAUUUAGUCUGCCUAAAAAACAGAUUAUUACCUUUGCUGCAGCUAACAUUAAGGAGAUUAGUUCUUGUGCUGACUGAUGCAGGAUUCACAAAGACAGGCUUCGGCCGACUUUGUAAACUCGAUCUCAAAUCAAGUAAGACUACCCGCUGAACUUAAGCAUAUCAAUAAGCGGAGGA